rnacentral:rRNA from 1 species
UGGGGAAUAUUGCACAAUGGGCGCAAGCCUGAUGCAGCCAUGCCGCGUGUAUGAAGAAGGCCUUCGGGUUGUAAAGUACUUUCAGCGAGGAGGAAGGCGGUAAGGUUAAUAACCUUAUCGAUUGACGUUACUCGCAGAAGAAGCACCGGCUAACUCCGUGCCAGCAGCCGCGGUAAUACGGAGGGUGCAAGCGUUAAUCGGAAUUACUGGGCGUAAAGCGCACGCAGGCGGUCUGUCAAGUCGGAUGUGAAAUCCCCGGGCUCAACCUGGGAACUGCAUUCGAAACUGGCAGGCUAGAGUCUUGUAGAGGGGGGUAGAAUUCCAGGUGUAGCGGUGAAAUGCGUAGAGAUCUGGAGGAAUACCGGUGGCGAAGGCGGCCCCCUGGACAAAGACUGACGCUCAGGUGCGAAAGCGUGGGGAGCA